UUUCCGUAGGUGAACUUGCGGAAGGAUCAUUAAUGAAGUUUUGAAGUGGACUUGAAGCUGGUGUCUUUACGGAUGCAUGUGCUCAGUCCCUUUAUCCAUUUCACACCUAUGUGCACUUUCAAAGUCUGUGGUCCUCCGUAAUGGGAGCUGUGAGCCACUUGUGGUUUGCUGGGACUACAGCUUUGCCAUAUCAUUACAAACUAUGUGUAUUGUCUUGUAGAAUGUGAAAUCUUUGAGAUGAAAUUAAUACAACUUUCAACAACGGAUCUCUUGGCUCUCGCAUCGAUGAAGAACGCAGC
rnacentral:misc_RNA from 1 species